rnacentral:rRNA from 1 species
CAAGUCGAACGUGAUUUUUGUGGAAAUUCUUUCGGGAAUGGAAAUGAAAUGAAAGUGGCGAACGGGUGAGUAACACGUGAGCAACCUACCUUACACAGGGGGAUAGCCGUUGGAAACGACGAUUAAUACCGCAUGAGACCACAGAAUCGCAUGAUAUAGGGGUCAAAGAUUUAUCGGUGUAAGAAGGGCUCGCGUCUGAUUAGCUAGUUGGAAGGGUAAAGGCCUACCAAGGCGACGAUCAGUAGCCGGUCUGAGAGGAUGAACGGCCACAUUGGAACUGAGACACGGUCCAAACUCCUACGGGAGGCAGCAGUGGGGAAUAUUGCACAAUGGGGGGAACCCUGAUGCAGCGACGCCGCGUGAGCGAAGAAGGUUUUCGAAUCGUAAAGCUCUGUCCUAUGAGAAGAUAAUGACGGUAUCAUAGGAGGAAGCCCCGGCUAAAUACGUGCCAGCAGCCGCGGUAAUACGUAUGGGGCGAGCGUUGUCCGGAAUUAUUGGGCGUAAAGGGUACGUAGGCGGUUUUUUAAGUCAGGUGUGAAAGCGUGAGGCUUAACCUCAUUAAGCACUUGAAACUGGAAGACUUGAGUGAAGGAGAGGAAAGUGGAAUUCCUAGUGUAGCGGUGAAAUGCGUAGAUAUUAGGAGGAAUACCGGUGGCGAANGCGACUUUCUGGACUUUUACUGACGCUCAGGUACNAAAGCGUGGGGAGCAAACAGGAUUANAUACCCUGGUAGUCCACNCCNUAAACNAUGAAUGCUANGUGUUGGGAGUCAAAUCUCGGUGCCCAANUUAACACUUUNNNCUUU